GACGAACGCUGGCGGCGUGCUUAACACAUGCAAGUCGAGCGGUAAGGCCUUUCGGGGUACACGAGCGGCGAACGGGUGAGUAACACGUGGGUGAUCUGCCCUGCACUUCGGGAUAAGCCUGGGAAACUGGGUCUAAUACCGGAUAAGCCCUUACGGGGAAAGAUUUAUCGCCGAAAGAUCGGCCCGCGUCUGAUUAGCUAGUUGGUAGGGUAAUGGCCUACCAAGGCGACGAUCAGUAGCUGGUCUGAGAGGAUGAUCAGCCACAUUGGGACUGAUACACGGCCCAA
rnacentral:rRNA from 1 species